rnacentral:lncRNA from 1 species
UGGGUUUCUGUGAGGCCUCUAAGGAAAUGACCUGAGUGAAGAUUGUUUAAAGGAGGGGUUCACUCCUAGGUGAAAAGUUUGUAAAUCAUUUUGGUAAGAUUGAUUUCUGAUAAGCUUAUACCCUUGAGCAAAACAAUUAUUCUUACAGGGGGACCGUUUGCUGCCAUGGUAAAAUGUGAAAUUUCUCAUUUUUAUUUUCUUCACUUCUUUUAUCUUAUUAAUG